rnacentral:rRNA from 1 species
CAUUGGGUUUAAAGGGUGCGCAGGCGGAUUGGUAAGUCAGGGGUGAAAUCCCACAGCUCAACUGUGGAACUGCCUUUGAUACUGUCAGUCUAGAGUAUAGUUGAAGUUGGCGGAAUGUGUCAUGUAGCGGUGAAAUGCUUAGAUAUGACACAGAACACCGAUCGCGAAGGCAGCUAGCUAAGCUAUAACUGACGCUCAUGCACGAAAGCGUGGGGAUCAAACAGGAUUAGAUACCCUGGUAGUCCACGCUGUAAACGAUGAUUACUCGAUGUUGGCGAUACACAGUCAGCGUCUGAGCGAAAGCAAUAAGUAAUCCACCUGGGGAGUACGAUCGCAAGAUUGAAACUCAAAGGAAUUGACGGGGGCCCGCACAAGCGGAGGAGCAUGUGGUUUAAUUCGAUGAUACGCGAGGAACCUUACCUGGGCUCGAACGUAAGAUGACUGUAGGUGAAAGCUUACAUCUCUUCGGAGCAUUUUACGAGGUGCUGCAUGGUUGUCGUCAGCUCGUGCCGUGAGGUGUCGGGUUAAGUCCCAUAACGAGCGCAACCCCUACCUUUAGUUGCCAUCAGGUCAUGCUGGGGACUCUAAAGGAACUGCCUACGCAAGUAGUGAGGAAGGCGGGGAUGACGUCAAAUCAGCACGGCCCUUACGUCCAGGGCUACACACGUGCUACAAUGGCCGAUACAGAGGGCAGCUACCUGGUGACAGGAUGCAAAUCUCCAAAGUCGGUCUCAGUUCGGAUCGGAGUCUGCAACCCGACUCCGUGAAGUUGGAUUCGCUAGUAAUCGCGCAUCAGCCAUGGCGCGGUGAAUACGUUCCCGGGCCUUGUACACACCGCCCGUCAAGCCAUGGAAGCUGGGGGGACCUAAAGUCGAUAACCGCAAGGAGUCGCCCAGGGUAAAACCAGUGACUGGGGCUAAGUCGUAACAAGGUAGCCG